UACGUAGGGUGCAAGCGUUAAUCGGAAUUACUGGGCGUAAAGCGUGCGCAGGCGGUUAUGUAAGACAGUUGUGAAAUCCCCGGGCUCAACCUGGGAACUGCAUCUGUGACUGCAUUGCUGGAGUACGGCAGAGGGGGAUGGAAUUCCGCGUGUAGCAGUGAAAUGCGUAGAUAUGCGGAGGAACACCGAUGGCGAAGGCAAUCCCCUGGGCCUGUACUGACGCUCAUGCACGAAAGCGUGGGGAGCAAACAGG
rnacentral:rRNA from 1 species